rnacentral:rRNA from 1 species
UACAGAGGGUGCGAGCGUUAAUCGGAAUUACUGGGCGUAAAGCGUGCGCAGGCGGUUUUGUAAGUCUGUCGUGAAAUCCCCGGGCUCAACCUGGGAAUUGCGAUGGAGACUGCAAGGCUAGAAUCUGGCAGAGGGGGGGGUAGAAUUCCACGUGUAGCAGUGAAAUGCGUAGAGAUGUGGAGGAACACCGAUGGCGAAGGCAGCCCCCUGGGUCAAGAUUGACGCUCAUGCACGAAAGCGUGGGGAGCAAACGAGG